rnacentral:rRNA from 1 species
CCUACGGGUGGCAGCAGUGGGGAAUAUUGCACAAUGGGGGAAACCCUGAUGCAGCGACGCCGCGUGAGUGAAGAAGUAUUUCGGUACGUAAAGCUCUGUCAGCAGGGAAGAAAGAAAUGACGGUACCUGACCAAGAAGCCCCGGCUAACUACGUGCCAGCAGCCGCGGUAAUACGUAGGGGGCAAGCGUUAUCCGGAAUUACUGGGUGGAAAGGGAGCGUAGACGGUUAAGUAAGUCUGGAGUGAAAGGCCGGGGCCCAACCCCGGGACUGCUCUGGAAACUAUUGAACUUGAGUGCAGGAGAGGUAAGCGGAAUUCCUAGUGUAGCGGUGAAAUGCGUAGAUAUUAGGAGGAACACCAGUGGCGAAGGCGGCUUACUGGACUGUAACUGACGUUGAGGCUCGAAAGCGUGGGGAGCAAACAGGAUUUGAUACCCUAGUAGUC